rnacentral:snoRNA from 1 species
GCACCCGAAUCUUUUCCUUGUUUCCUUGCUGUGUGGUGCAGGUCUAGGCAUGGUUGGUGCAUCAGCACAGCAGUGGAAAUCCAGAUGGGUUGUUUUGCACUGGUUUGGGACUCAUCUCUGCAUCAUUUACCACUUAA